rnacentral:lncRNA from 1 species
UUUGAACUUGUGGUACAGACUGCUGCCACGCCGGCUGGCUAGGUUGCUCUACAGGGUCUCUCACUCGAGGAGAAGCUCACCUAUUCAGUGUCCAAAUGCUAAGAAGAAGCAAUCUGAAAGAGGAAGAGUUUAUUUUAUCCCACAGUUCAAGAGGAUUCAAUCCAUUAUGAUAAAAAAAGUCAUCAUGGCAGAAGCGUGAGAGCCUUCAUCCAGCAGCUGAUGGAAGUAGAAGCAGAUACAGCUAAAAACUGAACUGAACUGGAAUACAGUUGCAGAGGACGACUGAUGAGCAGAGUGAUCCAUACCAGGCCGGUGAAACCUACAGAAACAGCUGACCUGAACAAGAGGGAGCUCUUGACCCCCAGACUGAUCACUGGAAAACCAGCAUGGAACUGAUCCUGACCCAUAAAUUUGGGUGUCAGUGAGAAGGCCUCAGAAAUCUAUGGAGCCUAUUGUAAUAGAUAAGUACUUAUCCCUAGCAUAGGAAUGGACUUUGGGGGCCCAUUUCACAUAGAGGGAUACUCCCUCAGCCUAGACACACAGGGAAGGUCCUAGACCCUAUCCCAAAGGAUAUGACAGACUCUAAAGACCCACCUAUGGAAGGCCUCACUCUCUCUGGGGAGCAGAAAUGGUAUUGAAUAGGUAGGGUGUUAGUGGGGGACAGGGGAGGAGAGGAGGGAGAGGGAACUGGG